UCGAUCUCGUCCAAUGACUCUUCCUCUUCGCCGAUCCUUCACCUCCUACUAGCGACCCUUUGCAUUCCCUACCGACGACCCUUCGCAUUCCCACUCCUCUGAAAAUAUUCUCAAAAUGCAAGCGAAUCAUUGUCAAAAUCCUAAUGCAAUUCCCUUUACACAAGAGGAGAUCUCAAACUUGGUUUUUAAGAAGAAGCCUGGUAUUGUAAAAGGACUUGGCAUGAGGCCUUCCUCUUCUCUAGUAACUAAUUCCUCGGUGGAGUAUAUCCAACGGUUAUAAAAUGAGAUAAUUGAGCUCAAAGAGGCAAAAGUUAGGGACCAAGAGGAGCGAGCUAAGGACCAAGAGGAGCAAGCUAGGGACCAAGAGGCACGAGCUAAGCAAGAAGAGGUCCAAAAGAAUAUUAUUGACUUUUUGAGAAGCAAGGGUUAUGAUGAUGCUCUUACCUAUGGGGGUGGUUCAACUUCAAGUUAAAAUACUUUUUGAUUGCUUAUUGGUGGCUUUUAG